rnacentral:rRNA from 1 species
GUACCCGCGGCAAGACGGAAAGACCCCGUGAACCUUUACUAUAGCUUGACACUGAACAUUGAGCCUUGAUGUGUAGGAUAGGUGGGAGGCUUUGAAGCGUGGACGCCAGUCUGCGUGGAGCCGACCUUGAAAUACCACCCUUUAAUGUUUGAUGUUCUAACGUGGAUCCGUAAUCCGGGUUGCGGACAGUGUCUGGUGGGUAGUUUGACUGGGGCGGUCUCCUCCUAAAGAGUAACGGAGGAGCACGAAGGUUGGCUAAUCCUGGUCGGACAUCAGGAGGUUAGUGCAAUGGCAUAAGCCAGCUUGACUGCGAGCGUGACGGCGCGAGCAGGUGCGAAAGCAGGUCAUAGUGAUCCGGUGGUUCUGAAUGGAAGGGCCAUCGCUCAACGGAUAAAAGGUACUCCGGGGAUAACAGGCUGAUACCGCCCAAGAGUUCAUAUCGACGGCGGUGUUUGGCACCUCGAUGUCGGCUCAUCACAUCCUGGGGCUGAAGUAGGUCCCAAGGGUAUGGCUGUUCGCCAUUUAAAGUGGUACGCGAGCUGGGUUUAGAACGUCGUGAGACAGUUCGGUCCCUAUCUGCCGUGGGCGCUGGAGAACUGAGGGGGGCUGCUCCUAGUACGAGAGGACCGGAGUGGACGCAUCACUGGUGUUCGGGUUGUCAUGCCAAUGGCACUGCCCGGUAGCUAAAUGCGGAAGAGAUAAGUGCUGAAAGCAUCUAAGCACGAAACUUGCCCCGAGAUGAGUUCUCCCUGAGACUUAGAGUCUCCUGAAGGAACGUUGAAGACGACGACGUUGAUAGGCCGGGUGUGUAAGCGCAGCGAUGCGUUGAGCUAACCGGUACUAAUGAACCGUGAGGCUUAACCUUACAACGCCGAAG